CACAGAAAAGCAUAAUCAAUUAGAAUCACGAAGGAACAAAAUACUAUAGAAAUGUCAUCUGUAUAAAUUUACACUAACAUCACAUUAUAUUGGGAGAUGCUUUCUUUUCUCUGUUCAGAGUAGGUGGAACAAACAUCUAGUGUCCAGUUAGUUGUGAAUGAUCAUCUCUUUGUUAAAGCAAGGAUUGACAAAAGUGGUUGAUGAAAUGCUUACAAUCAGCUCCAAGAAUGGUAGUGUCAUGGUUUAUUGACAGUACAAUAUCUGUGUAUAGAGAUGAGUUCUAGCGUAGAAACGCCUAAAUGGAGUGUGUUUGAAGAUGUGAAGAAUAUAUCUGCAGCUCCAGAGGCACUUAUGGCUGAUAUCAACGCUGCUAUUAGCGCCCUUGAGUAUGCUCGUGCUGCUGCUGCUACCUUCUUACACUCGUCUCCUUCCUCUUCGAAAGCAAAAACACUCAUCAAAAGUUGAUACAUACGAUGCUGGAAAGGCUGAUGAAGUCGAACCUAUAGCUGCAGCCAAACUAGAUAAGUCUCUUUGUUACACUUACGUGUGAAUAUCUCAUCUCGUUAGACCCGGAUUGUUGUUGUUGUUCAUUCCACCGUAUAGUGCAAGUGUUGUCAUAUAAUUGUAUUCCAUAACCAUUCUUCAAGUUUUCACACUGAAGGGAGUACGGUUUCGUUCACUACAUUCGAGUUUCGCAGCACCUGAAAGGUUUGGCUUUGAUAGACUGGAAACUUGAUCAAGAGAAUGUCUUGGAUGCAGUGGCCGAUCCAGAAAUCAAAAAUGGAGGGGGCGGAAUUACCAUUAAACCUUUAUCCUUCGGUUUCACAAAAACAUACUCAAAAUACACCAAAAAUAAUGUGUUAUUAUUUGAUAUACUACUAUAUUUUUUUUAUUUAA